GUCGAUACUGUAUCCGCUAUUCAAUCAUCAGUUCUCUCACUUGGAUCAGCAGUGAACGUAAUGGAUGCAAUAAUAAUUUGGCACAUCCACCAUCUACCUUCCGAUAAGAGCUGAUAAUCUGAACAGCUGUGGCUAAUCAAAACACAAGCAACAAUUGUUAAAGUGGAUUUUGUCAGACCAAAAUUAACAAUCUACUAACUAUUUUGACUGUUGUGCAACAGAAAAAUCUGAAGUUGAAUCAACUUUUAUUGGCAGACAAUUCAGAGGAGUGGAAUGACGACGAAUUGGAUCUUUACGAAAGCAUUUUUUCUGCAAAAGAGCAAAUGACACGAAGUGUGUGGACUCUGGUACGUGCUCUUAAAAAUACUAUUCAAGAAUGCGAUUUGUAUGAAACAGAAGCGAUAAGGGACUAGGUGUUUUGCGGAAGAAACACACCAAAUGGUGAAAUGCCAUUCCUCUUGAAAAGGGGAUCGCUAUAGUCUUGUACACAUUGGGAUUAUCUGCGGAAUAUCGUUACAUCGGAAGGCUUUUUGGAGUUGCACAGAACACUGUGUGCAAAUUUUUCCACGAAUUUUGGCGGGCACUAAUUUUUGAGUGGACGAGUGUGUCAAAGAAUUCGAAGCAAUUGGAUUUCCCCAGUUACCAAUUGAAGGUUGUCACAUCGAAAUAAAACCGUCAGCAGCAGAAGCAGUCGAUCACCACAGCUACAACGGCUGGUACUCAACAGUACUAUUCGCUCUCGUGGAUUUCAGAUACAGUUUUACCUAUGUAAACAUAUGCUUUGCUGGGCGCUGCAACGACUCCACUAUAUUUCAAAAGUCCAGCCAGGCAAGGGAAGUGGUGUCUUCUCCGUUUCUUCUCGAAAAAACAAGGGAAGCUUGUGGCGUUUAAGUUCCGGUGCUGCUUAUUGGGGACUAUGGCUUUCGAUUUUCCCAAACGCUGAUAAAGCCGUACCCAUUUUCCACAACUGCGUCCGAAGAACAGCUAAAUUUUAACUACAAUCUGUCCAAAGCUAGGCGAUUAGUAGAAAAUGCAUUUGGCCAUUUAAAGGCAAGAUUUCGGUUUCUUGGGAAAGGUCUUCACAGCCACUACAAGAACAAUAAUGGAGUCAUUCUAGCCUGCUGCAUUUUGCACAACAUUUUGAAUGAGCACAACAGCGCUAUAAAUGAAACUUGACAACAGGCUGCAAGUGACCUACGC